UGUUAAUGCUCUUCCCGGAUCUAUGGUA
rnacentral:piRNA from 1 species